AGAGUUUGAUCCUGGCUCAGAUUGAACGCUGGCGGAACGCUUUACACAUGCAAGUCGAACGGUAACGCGGAGAGAAGCUUGCUUCUCUCCGGCGACGAGUGGCGAACGGGUGAGUAAUACAUCGGAACGUGUCCGCUCGUGGGGGACAACCAGCCGAAAGGUUGGCUAAUACCGCAUGAGUUCUACGGAAGAAAGAGGGGGACCCGCAAGGGCCUCUCGCGAGCGGAGCGGCCGAUGACUGAUUAGCCGGUUGGUGAGGUAACGGCUCACCAAAGCAACGAUCAGUAGCUGGUCUGAGAGGACGACCAGCCACACUGGGACUGAGACACGGCCCAGACUCCUACGGGAGGCAGCAGUGGGGAAUUUUGGACAAUGGGCGCAAGCCUGAUCCAGCUAUUCCGCGUGUGGGAUGAAGGCCCUCGGGUUGUAAACCACUUUUGUAGAGAACGAAAAGACACCUUCGAAUAAAGGGUGUUGCUGACGGUACUCUAAGAAUAAGCACCGGCUAACUACGUGCCAGCAGCCGCGGUAAUACGUAGGGUGCGAGCGUUAAUCGGAAUUACUGGGCGUAAAGGGUGCGCAGGCGGUUGAGUAAGACAGAUGUGAAAUCCCCGAGCUUAACUCGGGAAUGGCAUAUGUGACUGCUCGACUAGAGUGUGUCAGAGGGAGGUGGAAUUCCACGUGUAGCAGUGAAAUGCGUAGAUAUGUGGAAGAACACCGAUGGCGAAGGCAGCCUCCUGGGACAUAACUGACGCUCAGGCACGAAAGCGUGGGGAGCAAACAGGAUUAGAUACCCUGGUAGUCCACGCCCUAAACGAUGUUAACUAGUUGUUGGGAAGUAAAAUUCUCAGUAACGCAGCCAACGCGAGAAGUUAACCGCCUGGGAAGUACGGUCGCAAGACUAAAACUCAAAGGAAUUGACGGGGACCCGCACAAGCGGUGGAGCAUGUGGUUUAA
rnacentral:rRNA from 1 species